CACCUCAUAGAUCCCUCGAGGGCUGUCAAGUACCAGAUUAACAGUUGUUCCUUCCAUAUGAGGCAUCAGAAUCAGAGGUUCCUACAACUUAUUCUUUUAUCUUUCAAUGCCCCUUGGCAAUCAUUAUUCUACCUGACCGUUUGAUCUCUUUUUCGGUUCAGGCAUUUCUGGUAUUGUUUUUUCUUUUGCUUUUCUUUUCUUUCUUUUUCCCCUUUUUUUUUUUUUUAGAAGGAUCAACCUCGAUUCCUCUUAUCCGCUCACAAUAAAC
rnacentral:lncRNA from 1 species